CCGGAAACGGGAGCUAAUACCGGAUACGACCACUUCAGGCAUCUGAUGGUGGUGGAAAGUUCCGGCGGUGGAGGAUGAGCUCGCGGCCUAUCAGCUAGUUGGUGAGGUAACGGCCCACCAAGGCUUCGACGGGUAGCCGGCCUGAGAGGGUGACCGGCCACACUGGGACUGAGACACGGCCCAGACUCCUACGGGAGGCAGCAGUGGGGAAUAUUGGACAAUGGGCGAAAGCCUGAUCCAGCAACGCCGCGUGAGGGAUGACGGCCUUCGGGUUGUAAACCUCUUUCAGCGCAGACGAAGCGAAAGUGACGGUAUGCGCAGAAGAAGCACCGGCCAACUACGUGCCAGCAGCCGCGGUAAUACGUAGGGUGCGAGCGUUGUCCGGAAUUAUUGGGCGUAAAGGGCUCGUAGGCGGUCUGUCACGUCAGGAGUGAAAACUCGGGGCUCAACCCCGAGCCUGCUUCUGAUACGGGCAGACUGGAGGUAUGCAGGGGAGAACGGAAUUCCUGGUGUAGCGGUGAAAUGCGCAGAUAUCAGGAGGAACACCGGUGGCGAAGGCGGUUCUCUGGGCAUUACCUGACGCUGAGGAGCGAAAGUGUGGGGAGCGAAGAGGAUUAGAGACCC
rnacentral:rRNA from 1 species